UACGUAGGGGGCAAGCGUUGUCCGGAAUCAUUGGGCGUAAAGCGCGUGUAGGCGGCCAGAUAAGUCCGCUGUGAAAUCUCGAGGCUCAACUUCGAGCUGUCGGUGGAAACUGUCUGGCUAGAGUCCGGAAGAGGAGAAUGGAAUUCCUGGUGUAGCGGUGAAAUGCGCAGAUAUCAGGAAGAACACCCGUGGCGAAGGCGGUUCUCGGGGACGGUACUGACGCUGAGACGCGAAAGCGUGGGGAGCGAACAGG
rnacentral:rRNA from 1 species